rnacentral:rRNA from 1 species
UUGUAGCUGGCCUUUCGAGGCAUGUGCACACCCUGCUCAUCCACUCUACACCUGUGCACUUACUGUAGGUUGGCGUGGGCUUCGGACCUCCGUGUUCGAGGCAUUCUGCCGCCCUAUGUACACUAUAAACUCCGAAGUAACAGAAUGUAAACGCGUCUAACGCAUCUUAAUACAACUUUCAGCAACGGAUCUCUUGGCUCUCGCAUCGAUGAAGAACGCAGCGAAAUGCGAUAAGUAAUGUGAAUUGCAGAAUUCAGUGAAUCAUCGAAUCUUUGAACGCACCUUGCGCUCCUUGGUAUUCCGAGGAGCAUGCCUGUUUGAGUGUCAUGAAAUUCUCAACCCAUAGAUCCUUGUGGUCUACGGGCUUGGAUUUGGAGGCUUGCCGGCCCUUACACGGGGUCGGCUCCUCUUGAAUGCAUUAGCUUGAUUCCGUGCGAAUCGGCUCUCAGUGUGAUAAUUGUCUACGCUGUGGCCGUGAAGCGUUUGGCGAGCUUCUAACCGUCCGUUAGGACAACUUCUUGACAUCUGACCUCAAAUCAGGUAGGACUACCCGCUGAACUUAAGCAUAUCAAUAAGGCGGGAGGAAGGAUCAUUAACGAGUUUUGAAACGGGUUGUAGCUGGCUUUCGAGGCAUGUGCACACCCUGCUCAUCCACUCUACACCUGUGCACUUACUGUAGGUUGGCGUGGGCUUCGGACCUCCGUGUUCGAGGCAUUCUGCCGCCCUAUGUACACUAUAAACUCCGAAGUAACAGA